rnacentral:rRNA from 1 species
CCUACGGGAGGCAGCAGUGGGGAAUAUUGGGCAAUGGGCGCAAGCCUGACCCAGCAACGCCGCGUGAAGGAAGAAGGCUUUCGGGUUGUAAACUUCUUUUAAGAGGGAAGAGCAGAAGACGGUACCUCUUGAAUAAGCCACGGCUAACUACGUGCCAGCAGCCGCGGUAAUACGUAGGUGGCAAGCGUUGUCCGGAUUUACUGGGUGUAAAGGGCGUGCAGCCGGGAAGGCAAGUCAGAUGUGAAAUCCCGCGGCUCAACCGCGGAACUGCAUUUGAAACUGUUUUUCUUGAGUACCGGAGAGGUCAUCGGAAUUCCUUGUGUAGCGGUGAAAUGCGUAGAUAUAAGGAAGAACACCAGUGGCGAAGGCGGAUGGCUGGACGGCAACUGACGGUGAGGCGCGAAAGCGUGGGGAGCGAAAGGGAUUAGAUACCCCUGUAGUC